rnacentral:rRNA from 1 species
GACGAACGCUGGCGGCGUGCUUAACACAUGCAAGUCGAACGGAGUGGCGAACGGGUGAGUAUUACGUGAGUAACCUGCCCUCAACUGUGGGAUAAGCCUGGGACACUGGGUCUACUACUUCAUAGUUGGGGCUGGGCUCGCGGCCUAUCAUCUUGUUGGUGGGGUGAUGGCCUACCAAGGCGGUGACGGUUAGCCGGUCUGAGAGGGCGACCGGCCACAUUGGGACUGAGACACGGCCCAGACUCCUACGGGAGGCAGCAGUGGGGAAUAUUGGACAAUGGGCGCAAGCCUGAUGCAGCCAUGCCGCGGUUAUGAAGAAGGCCUUCGGGUUGUAAAGUACUUUCAGCGAGGGACCGUUACUGGCAGAAGAAGCACCGGCUAACUCCGUGCCAGCAGCCGCGGUAAUUC